AAAUAAAUAAAAUGCAAAAAUAAAAACGAAAGAUAUAUAUGUAUUCGGAUUGGCAUGUUCCACUUUGUCCGGGUUGAAAUCCCCGAGGAUGCAAAUGUACAUUACGCCGCACUGCUUGCAGUACGUACAUGGUACAGGUGUACCGCAUAGUGAUCUUCAACUUUUAAUCUCCAAGAAGGAAAUGUAAUUAAAAGAUGAAUAAAAUAUCCGUAAGAAUACCAGAAGAAAGGCCAUGUGUUGAGAAAAACAGCCCUUCCUCAGUACCUCAGAACUAGAUGACAGCCCUUAAUUGUUACUUUAUGCUGAAUAUGACACAGUAUAGAAGAUCUGAUCAUGAAGAAGUAACACCAUUGAUACACUUGCCAACUGCCAAAAUUACUUUCUGAUAGUAUGACGAGAUUAGAAGAUAUCAUGGUGUAGUCAUGACACAAACUGCAAAUCAAAGAAUUAAUUGUCUUCCCCAGAGGAUGAACAGAGCACGAUGGCUUCACAUGGAUAACAUUUCCUUUCGAGUUUUGAAAUUAAUUUGUCAGAAUGUUAUGCAUCGUUAUCAACAGAAAAGAACUUCAUAGGUAGACCAAAGCUGACAUGGGAUGAGAUCCUAGAACAAGACCUAGAGUUUACAGGAUUGGAUAGGAUCAAUCCACUGGGUCGCCAAGUGUGGAAGUACAAACUUCAACCUCGACAGGACAGCCAGGCCUCACCCUUGCAAAAAGAUUAAUUUGGCCUGGAUAGUCAAAAUGAGUGAUGAUGAUUGAUAUCAAGGUCUGACACUGGAAGCUCAGUAAGGGUAGAUGCUGGCAAUGGAGCUGUUUAGCAAUAAAACAAACAAGUUUAACAUUAAACAUGUUUGUAUACUUUUUUGGCUCACCUGAGCCAAAGGCUCAAGUGAGCUUUUCUGAUCACCUUUGCCUGUCGUCUGUCUGUUUAUAAACUUUUCACAUUUUCAUUUUCUUCUCCAGAGUGAACCACUGGGCCAGUUUCAAUCAAACUUGGUAUGCAUCAUCAAUAGAUAAAGGGUAUUCAAGUUUGUUCAUAUAAAGGGUCAUGCACCCUUCAAAAAGGAAAUAAUCAUGGAAAUGCAAAAAUAGGGUGGGGUCAUUUAAAAAACCUUUUCAAGAACCACUGGACCAGGAAAGUUGAAUUCACACGAAAGGUUCCUGUUUUGUGCAAAUCAUGGUCUCUGGGGGUAGGGUGGGGUCACAAUAGAGAAUCAAAGUUUUACAUUCAUAUAUAGUGCAUAUUCAAGUUUGUAAAAAGCUCACAGGGGUAGGGUGGGGGUCACAAUAGGGGAUUUAAGUUUUACAUGUGAAAUAUAUACAAGGAAAAUCUUUUAAAAUCUUCUCCUCAAAAACUAGAUGCAGAACCGUAGCUCUUUGAAAAGAGAGCUUCAGAUGAACCCCUUAUAAAAAAAAACUUCAAUUUAUGGCAGAGAAAAAAAGUGCAUGUUUAAGUCCCUCUAUCACUGCAUUCCUGCAUCGCUGUCUCAUGAAUUUAAUAUUAAAUAAUUCCCAACAUAUUUUCCCACUAUACUUGUUUCCAAACAUACUUUCAAAUAUUUUCUAAACCCACAUAUAACCCCAAAACAGCUUCAAGUGAUUUCAAUUUCUUUGUUGAUGUAGCCAUGUUAAGUAGCCAGUCAAUUUGAACCCCAGUUCAUUUCCAUACUCAUACUCAUUUUGAAACAUAAUGUCUGUGUGAACUAAUAUCCUCACAAAUAUUUUUAGUGAAAUAUUUUGGAUGAAAUCAUCCCAGUUGGGUUAAAUACUUAUUAUUCAAAUACUGUAGGUUUGAAUAUUGAACUAAUCUCACAGCUUUCUUAAGUUUGGUCCCCAUCCCCGCCAGUCUGUUUUUACGCUUAACUAUUGAAAUGGGGUGUAAGGGAUCAGACUAGGCUUUUAUAGCAUUAUCAAUUUUCAAAAGCUUUAGAAAAAUUAUACAAUUGUAGGUCACUUGAGUAAACUCAGAUGACAUAUUGCUAUUGAUCUGCAUCUGUUGUAGUCCGUCGACAUUAACAAUUGAACAUUUUUAACUAAAUUCUAUAACUGAAAGAUGAAGAUACCGCACAGCGAUCAAUCUACGAUUCAAAUAACGGAAUUCUUUUCAAAUUUAGUAUGAAGCACACAAAUUUACAUUAAACCUUCUUGACAUAGUGCAUAUUCAAGUUUGUUAAAAUCAUUUCCCCGGGAGUUAUGGUGUGGUAACAAUAGGGGGUCAAAGUUUUAUAUGCUAGCUGAUAUAAAGGAAAAUUCUUUAAAGAUAUCUCUUGAACUAUUUAAGUUAGGGCUUUCAUAUCUUGUAUAUACAAUUUUUAUGGCAAAACAAAUCUGACCUAUUCAGUAUGUCCUGAACUACAUUGUGUUUAAGGUAGAUCUUUCAUAUAUAUUAUAUAUUAUGAAUUUCUUAUGAUAAAACCUUUCAUCUUGUUGAGGAGCCUCUCACCUCUGGUUGGCGCGGGUUUGAAUCCUGCUGGCACCGGUAAUUGAGAAAGUUUCCCAGUUUACUCUCGGAAGGUCGGUGGUCUCUUCCCAGGUACAUUGUAUCUGGGUUCUCUCUUCCACCAAUAAAAACUGGGCACCACCAGAUAACUGAAAAAUUGUUGAGUGUGGCGGAAAACAGUUAAAACAAUCAAUCAUAUUAUGUUAUUUGACCUUGUGACCCUGAAUUCUGAGUUUGACAUACUUUUAAGAAAGUAUAACAUAUUAAGUAUAUCCAGGACUAUUUUAGAUAAGGCUUUUAUGUUUUGUAUAUUGAUUACUUAUGGCAAGGUCUUUCAUAUCAUACCAAGACCUACAACUUUUUACCUUGGUCUUAUCCAGAACAGCAAUAUCAUGCUAGUCAUAUCUUUGUCUUAUAUGAUUUCAUUUUAGUAAUGUUGUGUUCUUUAGAGCUAGGUUUGGGUCACAUUAUUCAUGAGAAUAAAGAUUGAUAAAAUAGCAUUUAAAAAUCAAAACAGCAGGGCCAAGAUGACUCAGGUGAGCGAUGUGGCCCAUGGGCCUCUUGUUGAUUUUGAUAUUUCUACCUAUAUCAUUUGUAUGAGAAAUGGAACUCCUUUUUUUCUUUUACAAAUACAUGUAUUAUCAUAUGGAUCCAUCUUUGUUGAUUAUUUAAUCAAAGGACAUAUUCAAUUCAUUCAAUGUAUUAAAUGUAAAUUUAUGGAUAUGUCUGUGGUUAAAUUACUUAUGUAUGUAUGUAUACAUUUUUCUCGCACAUGCAAUUACAUAUAUGAUGUAUAUAUAUUUACUAAUUGUACAUGUAAUAUCCCCUGUUAUAUAAUAAAAUAUAUGACUGAGAAUAAAA